rnacentral:snoRNA from 1 species
CUGUGGCAGUUAGGCUGAUGGGUCCCCUGCACUGGUGAGGCCCAUGUCUGCAAAGCCUGUAAACGGCAUACUCCUAGCAUAUGUACCCUGCCGCUUCAUGGAUUGCCCUAAGGGACCUUGGUGACAACC